GAUGAACGCUGGCGGCGUGCCUAAUACAUGCAAGUCGAGCGAACGGACGAGUGGCUUGCUUCUGUGAUGUUAGCGGCGGACGUGCGAGUCACUCGUGGAUAACCUACCUAUAAGAUUGGGAUAACUUCGGGAAACCGGAGCUAAUACCGGAGGAUAUUUUGUACCUCAUGGUUCAAAAGUGAAAUAGGGUCUUGCUGUCACUUAUAGAUGGAUCCGCGCUGCCUUAGCUAGUUGGUAGGGUAAAGGCUUACAAAGGCAACGAUGCAUAGACGACCUGAGGGGGGGAACGCCCAGCCUGGAACUGAGACACGGUCCAGACCCCUACGGGAGGCACCAGCAGGGAAUCCUCGGGAAUGGGGGAAAGCAUGCCGGAGCAACGUCGCGUGAGUGAUGAAGUUCUUCGGAUCGUAAACCUCUGUUAUUAGGGAAGAACAUAUGUGGAAGGACCUGUGCACAUCUUGACGGUACCUAAUCAGAAAGCCACGGCUAACUACGUG
rnacentral:rRNA from 1 species